CAGGACACACGGUUCGAUUUGCAUUUCAGACAAGCCACAGAUCUUGUUAGUAUAAGUAUACCCUUUAAAAUACUUGGGACAUACUUAUACCAAAAAUUAUUCACUGUUUAUCUGAAAUUAAAAUCGAACUGUGAAUCCU
rnacentral:miRNA from 1 species